rnacentral:rRNA from 1 species
GAGUUUGAUCUUGGCUCAGAUUGAACGCUGGCGGCAGGCCUAACACAUGCAAGUCGAGCGGUAGAGAGAAGCUUGCUUCUCUUGAGAGCGGCGGACGGGUGAGUAAUGCCUAGGAAUCUGCCUGGUAGUGGGGGAUAACGCUCGGAAACGGACGCUAAUACCGCAUACGUCCUACGGGAGAAAGCAGGGGACCUUCGGGCCUUGCGCUAUCAGAUGAGCCUAGGUCGGAUUAGCUAGUUGGUGAGGUAAUGGCUCACCAAGGCGACGAUCCGUAACUGGUCUGAGAGGAUGAUCAGUCACACUGGAACUGAGACACGGUCCAGACUCCUACGGGAGGCAGCAGUGGGGAAUAUUGGACAAUGGGCGAAAGCCUGAUCCAGCCAUGCCGCGUGUGUGAAGAAGGUCUUCGGAUUGUAAAGCACUUUAAGUUGGGAGGAAGGGCAGUAAAUUAUACUUUGCUGUUUUGACGUUACCGACAGAAUAAGCACCGGCUAACUCUGUGCCAGCCGCCG